GAUGAAGAACGCAGCGAAAUGCGAUAAGUAGUGUGAAUUGCAGAAUUCAGUGAAUCAUCGAAUCUUUGAACGCACAUUGCGCCCUUUGGUAUUCCAAAGGGCAUGCCUGUUCGAGCGUCAUUUGUACCCUCAAGCUUUGCUUGGUGUUGGGCGUCUUGUCUCUAGCUUUGCUGGAGACUCGCCUUAAAGUAAUUGGCAGCCGGCCUACUGGUUUCGGAGCGCAGCACAAGUCGCACUCUCUAUCAGCAAAGGUCUAGCAUCCAUUAAGCCUUUUUUUCAACUUUUGACCUCGGAUCAGGUAGGGAUACCCGCUGAACUUAAGCAUAUCAAUAAGCGGAGGG
rnacentral:misc_RNA from 1 species